GACGAACGCUGGCGGCGUGCCUAAUACAUGCAAGUCGAGCGGACAGACGGGAGCUUGCUCCCUGAUGUUAGCGGCGGACGGGUGAGUAACACGUGGGUAACCUGCCUGUAAGACUGGGAUAACUCCGGGAAACCGGGGCUAAUACCGGAUGGUUGUCUGAACCGCAUGGUUCAGACAUAAAAGGUGGCUUCGGCUACCACUUACAGAUGGACCCGCGGCGCAUUAGCUAGUUGGUGAGGUAACGGCUCACCAAGGCAACGAUGCGUAGCCGACCUGAGAGGGUGAUCGGCCACACUGGGACUGAGACACGGCCCAGACUCCUACGGGAGGCAGCAGUAGGGAAUCUUCCGCAAGGGACGAAAGUCUGACGGAGCAACGCCGCGUGAGUGAUGAAGGUUUUCGGAUCGUAAAGCUCUGUUGUUAGGGAAGAACAAGUGCCGUUCAAAUAGGGCGGCACCUUGACGGUACCUAACCAGAAAGCCACGGCUAACUACGUG
rnacentral:rRNA from 1 species